rnacentral:rRNA from 1 species
ACGGCCAUACCAUGCUGAAUAUACCGGUUCUCGUUAGAUCACCGAAGUCAAGCAUCAUUGGGCGCGGUCAGCACUUGGAUGGGUGACCACCUGGGAACA